rnacentral:misc_RNA from 1 species
UCAAACUUGGUCAUUUAGAGGAAGUAAAAGUCGUAACAAGGUUUCCGUAGGUGAACCUGCGGAAGGAUCAUUACUGAGUUUUUGGGGUCUAAUCAGCGAAAGCUGAUUUGGAUAUCCGAUUCUCCAUCCUUUGUUGACUUGAUGUCAUUCUUUGGCAAGACGCUUGAGUAGUUACAAACUACUUUAAGCCACUGGUAGAUUUUAGGGUCUAUGAGUGUGUUGCUUGCCAAAGUUACAACUCUUUUAUUAUUGUUGUCUGAUAAACAAACAAAUAAAUUAAAACUUUCAACAACGGAUCUCUUGGUUCUGGCAUCGAUGAAGAACGCAGC